AAUUAUUACGAGCUUAGGUAGGUGCUUAGGUGGCCCAAUCGUAUUUUAAACAUAAAUUUAUUUUCACUCACACUCACGCGACCGGCCCACCGACCAAAACCAAUCAAUCCGGCCCUGUAUGUACGAGCAUUUUAUUUGUGCAUUCUCGCGGGAAGAAAAUAUGGAAAACUUAAAAACAACGAUUGGUUAAGUAAUAAGUAAUAACUAAUAAGUAUAAUAACCAAUCAACAGUGAAACAAAUACAAGUACAAAUACAGUUUAAUAAGUGCAUCAACAUGAAGUGAAGACGUGAAGUGAAUUCAUCUCAAAACUACCUUUAUUACAAUGAAAAGUUGAUGAAUUGGCUUAUAGAAUAGAAUUUAGAAUCAGUAUUCAGUAUACACAUCUUACGUACACAAAUUAACACUAAGUAUACACUGAAUAAGGAACCUCUAAUAUUGAACAAGUUACCUAUUAUUCAAAACAUUCCUGGUCAAACGAUGAUAUUUCAAAAAACAGUAUUUCAAUAAUCCUAAUACCAGAGGUAUUGAAAUUAUAUCAGAAGGCAUAAGGAUAUUAGCAGAUAAAGGUUAUUCAUACAUUCAUAUUUCGCUGUUAGACACGUUGCUCCAAAGUUAUGAACAUAAUUUCCAACACCUGUAGGAUUUGUUGUUCAACAACUACAGUUGUAUUGAGUAGCAUGUGAAUGACUCUUAUGAAACUUCCUCAACAGCUCUAAGGAUAACGAACACGUUAUUAAAACAAAUGUGCAAGAAACUACAACAAAAAAAGUUUAUGUCAAAAGGUCAAAAUUAAUUUUACAACAAAUGGCGGUUAUGCAAUUUCACCUAUUGAGGAAACUAUAGAAUAAAAACUGAUUACGGCUAAAUUAUUAUUAUUUUUAGCCCUUGAGUUAAAAAAUAAUAUUGAUGUUGUAAUGAUCUAUCAAAUACUUGAUGAGGCAAUUAACCUCAAACCACAAGAUUAUGAAGAUCCAAAAUUACAAGAUAAUAGGAUAGGCAAUUUAGUCCGGGGUUAAGUGCGUUAGUACAUAAAAAUUAUUAAAUUAUUACAUAUGAAUAGUUUUAUAGUACAAUAUAGAGAGAAGCGUGACAAAGUAAUGACUAAUAAUUACAUAAAUAGGUCGUUUUACGGUGCAGAGUUGUUGAAUAAAAUGAUUUCUUAUUUUAAUCUUUGUAUAAGACAAAUUGACAAUUAUCGGAAUCAUAUCCAACCAUUUGAUGUCAACCUGAUAGUGUAUACAAACACCAUUAUCAGACAUACAAUAAGUAUAAUAUUGGAAAAAAAUUAAUUGGCAAUUCAAGUAGACUUGAUGUCAAACAUUAAUAAAGAAAAAGUGAUAUAUGGCUGCUUGGAAAACAAAUAUAGUGGUAUGGAUACAAUGAAUCAAAAUUAAAUAACAGAAAAAAUUAUAUCAACAGAAAUUAAAAUAGAUGAAACAGUGUGCUAACUAAAAAAAUAUUUACCAUGGAUGAGGCGAUACAACUAUAUUAGGCAUUCAAUUUCAAACAAAUACUCCAUACCUCCAGGACAAAAUUUUAGACACACUACAAAAUUACAAAAUUUUCCUGGAUAAUUUAAAAAAUCUUUUUGACAACAAUACACUCGAAGCUUUGGCAAAUAUUAGUACAAACUUCCAGCCAACCUCAAAGACUGAAGUUAAAAGUUUUUACAGCAGUGCAGCAACUCAGUUACUCCUUACAAAAGUGAUGUACAGACAUGGAAUAGUCUUGUGGUGAAGUUUUCUUGUCAAGAAGCAUGCAGUUUGCAUCUGAAUCUGGC